GAUAAACGCUGACAGAAUGCUUAACACAUGCAAGUCUACUUGAUUCUACUUCGGUAGUUGAUGGUGGCGGACGGGUGAGUAACGCGUAAAGAAUCUGCCCUUUAGUUCGGAAUAACCUUUGGAAACGAAGGAUAAUACCGGAUAUUAUGGAGACGUCGCAUGAUGAUUUCAUGAAGCUAUAUGCGCUAGAGGAGGACUUUGCGUCCCAUUAGUUAGUUGGUGAGGUAAUGGCUCACCAAGACCGCGAUGGGUAGCCGGCCUGAGAGGGUGAUCGGCCACAAGGGAACUGAGACACGGUCCUUACUCCUACGGGGGGCAGCAGUGGGGAAUAUUGGAAAAUGGGCCACAAGCCUGAUCCAGCAAUUCUGUGUGCACGAUGAAGGUCUUCGGAUUGUAAAGUGCUUUCAGUAGGGAAGAAAAAAAUGACGGUACCUACAGAAGAAGCGACGGCUAAAUAUGUGCCAGCAGCCGCCGUAA
rnacentral:rRNA from 1 species